UUUCCAGACUCCUACGGGAGGCAGCAGUGAGGAAUAUUGGUCAAUGGGCGCGAGCCUGAACCAGCCAAGUCGCGUGAGGGAUGACGGCCCUACGGGUUGUAAACCUCUUUUGCCGGGGAGCAACGGGCGCCACGUGUGGCGCCACUGAGAGUACCCGGAGAAAAAGCAUCGGCUAACUCCGUGCCAGCAGCCGCGGUAAUACGGAGGAUGCGAGCGUUAUCCGGAUUUAUUGGGUUUAAAGGGAGCGUAGGUGGAUUGUUAAGUCAGUUGUGAAAGUUUGCGGCUCAACCGUAAAAUUGCAGUUGAAACUGGCAGUCUUGAGUACAGUAGAGGUGGGCGGAAUUCGUGGUGUAGCGGUGAAAUGCUUAGAUAUCACGAAGAACUCCGAUUGCGAAGGCAGCUCACUGGACUGCAACUGACACUGAUGCUCGAAAGUGUGGGUAUCAAACAGGAUUAGAUACCCUGGUACA
rnacentral:rRNA from 1 species